rnacentral:rRNA from 1 species
UACGAAGGGGGCUAGCGUUGUUCGGAAUUACUGGGCGUAAAGCGCACGUAGGCGGCUUUGUAAGUCAGGGGUGAAAUCCCGGGGCUCAACCUCGGAACUGCCUUUGAUACUGCAGGGCUGGAGGACGGGAGAGGUGAGUGGAAUUCCUAGUGUAGAGGUGAAAUUCGUAGAUAUUAGGAAGAACACCAGUGGCGAAGGCGGCUCACUGGCGCGUUUCUGACGCUGAGGUGCGAAAGCGUGGGGAGCAAACAGG